UACGGGGGGAGCAAGCGUUGUUCGGAUUUACUGGGCGUAAAGGGCGCGUAGGCGGUCAGCACAAGUCAGUUGUGAAAUCUCCGGGCUUAACUCGGAAAGGUCAACUGAUACUGUGCGACUAGAGUGCAGAAGGGGCAACUGGAAUUCUCGGUGUAGCGGUGAAAUGCGUAGAUAUCAAGAGGAACACCUGCGGCGAAGGCGGGUUGCUGGGCCGACACUGACGCUGAUGCGCGAAAGCUAGGGGAGCGAACGGG
rnacentral:rRNA from 1 species